rnacentral:lncRNA from 1 species
CCCUCAGCUCAUGCUGGAGGUGAAUGCUGUUUUAGAUUUGUCUGCAGAGAUGCUUGUAUACCCUCAGAUUUGAGCUGCCACAGAUCUGAAGAAGUGUUUGAAAAUAUCGCCUGAGUUUAACUAGUGUUUGCCUGAGCCUGCAGGCAAUCUAAAAACAACAGCUUCAACAAAUGCAAACUGUAUCCCUGCCUUUAAAGGCCUCCCAAGGAAGCUCGCUUACUCUUCUCACCCCAUCGCCUCCAAUGGGACCGAGUCAUUGCAUUCGGAGUGCACACAGUGACACCUCCGAGAGACUUGGGCUGUUCUCUUGUCUCACUUCUGCUCUCUCCCAGGCUGGAUGCACGCCCUGGAGGUAUGUGGUUUGUCUCAAGAUAUAAGACUUCCCUCCUCAAAAACUACAUUACUUCAACAAGCCACAACGGUCUGGCAAGAGGGAGAGGGAUGCUCUGUUAGUGCAGCUUUCCACAGAGAUCUUUUCUGUAAACUCCAUGCAGCCGGAAACAUGCUCUCACUCUCCUGAGCUCACGUGCGUGCACAUAAGCACAUUCCCUCAUGCAGCAAUUUCAGUGAUGUUAAAGUACACAGACAUGCUUGCUUACACAUGCACAAAUACUUUGUUGUAUUUGUGCAUAAAUACGGGCAGAAAUUCUCUUAUCUGUGCACACAAUCACACUCAUGGAAACCCCA